rnacentral:lncRNA from 1 species
AAUAAUGCAAAAAGUCUCAUCAAAUUUGGACAAAAAAUGAAGAACUUAUGAAUUUUUGAAGUUUGGAAAACAAUGCAUAUGGAAAUUGUAGGGAAAAAUAAAAUGGAUUUUAAGUUUGAAAACAUGCUGCAGGUGAUACGCGUAUGGCGCACAGUGAUACGCGUAUGGCCAGUGGUGGCUCAGUGAUACGCGUAUGGCGCAUAGUGAUACGCGUAUGACGCACAGUGAUACGCGUAUGGCGCAUAGUGAUACGCGUAUGGCCAGCGGUGGUUUCCACCAUCUUCUUCGCGAAGACGGCGGAGCUGUGUUCAGAAAAUUUUCCAGAAUUU